AUUCAGGUAAUCAAGCAACGUGGGUAGAUGAUAACGAAGACGAGAGGAAGAAAAAAAUGAUAAAGAAAUCUGGUUCAGUAAAGUUCUGUCGCUUUCUGGCAACCCUGCAGUCUCGCCGAGUUCCAGUCGCCCAUAUGGUCUUUCCAGUGAUGACCGCUUCCAGACGUCUUGUGGUUCCAGAACGGGCAACAACGCUCUUCCAGACAAAAUAAAGGAUUUUGACUAAGGAAUAACUCUCAGGGCACUUUUGAACACCACACCGUCUCACAAUGAACAAUCCCCACAAACAAAGCUCGAAGACCAGACUGACAACACCAGGCAGCAGCAGAAGACAGAGGGAGAAACCGAGGAGGAAAAUGAAGGGUUCCAGGUUCGAUCUGGAGGCUUAUCUGGACAAGCUCAAGUGGGACAGACACGUCAAGGCCAAGCGUCGAGUUCCUCCUCAUUGCUCCAAGAACAAAUUCUGCGUCUACUCCAAAGACCCCGU